GCCCGGCUAGCUCAGUAGGUAGAGCAUGAGACUCUUAAUCUCAGGGUUGUGGGGUUUGAGCCCUAUGUUGGGUG
rnacentral:tRNA from 1 species